AUUGAACGCUGGCGGCAGGCCUAACACAUGCAAGUCGAGCGAGAAAGGUUUUCGGACUGAGUACAGCGGCGGACGGGUGAGUAACGCGUAGGAAUCUACCCAGUAGUGGGGGACAACUUAGGGAAACUUAAGCUAAUACCGCAUACGCCCUGAGGGGGAAAGCGGGGGAUCUUCGGACCUCGCGCUAUUGGAAGAGCCUGCGUUAGAUUAGCUAGUUGGUGGGGUAAAGGCUCACCAAGGCGACGAUCUAUAGCUGGUCUGAGAGGAUGAUCAGCCACACUGGGACUGAGACACGGCCCAGACUCCUACGGGAGGCAGCAGUGGGGAAUAUUGCGCAAUGGGCGAAAGCCUGACGCAGCCAUGCCGCGUGUGUGAAGAAGGCCUUAGGGUUGUAAAGCACUUUCAAUUGGGAGGAAGGGGUUAAAGUUAAUAGCUUUGACUUUUGACGUUACCUUUAGAAGAAGCACCGGCUAACUCCGUG
rnacentral:rRNA from 1 species